GGGGCGGAGAAGGUGGGCGGGGUUGCGCUGCGUUCUCUCGUGACGCGCGGUUUAGUUGGGGAAACGCACUGUGGUUCCCCUUUCGGCUGGAAGAUCCGGAGCCUGAGGCGAGCCAGCCGCAGGAGUCCUGACGUUGCCUAGCCAAAGCUCGUCGCGUCUGCCUGAGCGGCCGCUCCUCUACCAAGGGCACUAAGAUUCCCCAGGAAACCCCCUGAGGGGCUAGCAGCCUCCUACUAGUAGGUUUCGGUCCCAAGAUGCUGAAGGUCAGGGCCUAGGAAGACUCAGAAACAAGAUUGGAUUUUACUGUAAUUGCAGCUGAAAGCUGUUGAAGAGCAAGGCGUGACUGUUCGAGCAAGGAGUUGGGAACAGUGAUGUUUGUGCAGAUAACUGAAAACAACCCAAAUAACCAGCAACUGGAGGCAUGGCCAGAUACGCUGGAAUAUCCAAACCACGGAAAACUGUGUAACCAGUGUAAUAGAAUGAAGUGGAGCUUCAACAUGAGAAAAAAAUUGCAUAUCCAGGAUCUCUAGUCCUUUGGCUUCCUUGAGAUUCAGUCAGUUGGUGGCACCAGGAAGCGAUCAAGAGGCAAGAAGAGAGAGAAGUCGAGUGUCUCCUCCUCUUUAUCUUCCUGCUUGAAGACAGAGGCUGCAUGCCGCUCCCCACCUCCAGCCCAGCCUCCCCCACCCUCUCUACUCCCCCCUCCUCCUCCACCAUUUCUGCUUUUCCUGAAUUCCAUAAGAUUAUUAUUUCCUCCCUUUGUCCCUUUGUCUCUAGGAAUACUAUUCUCUGGGUGCCUCAGCAUCCCUUGUUUACUCCCAUGACCUGGUCUACCCAUCUGUACUGGGGAUUGAAUCCAGGACCUUGGGCAUGCAAGCAUGCGCUCUACCGCCCCCCUGAGAUGAGCUUUUGAAGUUGCAAUAGAUUUUUGAAGACGUCCAGUCUCCUGGUAACUGUUAUCUCCCUUUUGGAUGUCACUCAUAGGCAAAGUGUUCUGCCAUAGGCCAUCUAAAGUCAUGCAUGACAAGGGUGAAAAUAUUGGGGUAAGCAGUUGUGUGUCAUUUACAACCCUGAAAUUCACAAUGCAAGAGACCCUGGAUUGUAUUGUGAAAAUGACUCCUUUGACUGACACCUGUGAAUAGGAAAGAACACAUUCUUCCCAGGGACACAAGACAGUAAGGUGUAGUUUGGGAUGUCAGCUUAUAUGCAGAUGACAGCCAAACGCUAGGCCAGGAAACCAGUGGGGACGGAGUGCUGCUGCCUGUAGGGUGUUGGUACUCACUUGGUGGAAGAAUUUCCACUUGAUCUUCCUAGUCCUGGCUUUCUUAGGAGAGCAGUUUGCAGGUACAUGGAUUACGAGAAGAAAGAAAAAAUCCACAAAGGCAUCUUCGUCCCGUCUCAAAUGAAAGGCAACUAUACUGACUGGCAAUCUACACAAUGGUUGCUAGAAAGUGGUUGAGAUUUUAGCCAAGUGAUGUUUAUACUACAGCUGACUCAUCACACAGGUGGAAACAUUGUGCUUUUCUAUUUUCUUGCAAAAUAUUGAGACACCUAGUGGGCACAACAUGAAAACAUCUUUAUGGAAAAUGGUGAGUUCAGUCAAUACCCAGGUAAAUGCUAUUCAAUGCUUACUUCUACAAAAAGUAGUCUUAUUAGAGAAAUACCCAGAGCCAGGAAUCAGAUCAACUUUUGACUCAUAUUGGAUAAUCAAUAUACAUUAUUACCACAUGCUUUUUAGCACUGAGUAUUUUUCAGAGUCCUUUAAACAUAAGUUUCUUUCCAUAACACUCGGUACAGUAGUCUCCUCCUACUGUGGGCUCCCGAAGGUGGGGGCUACUCCAGUUUCCUCCCAGCACUAGCUCAGUGUCUAAUACGUAAAAAUCAGAUGCUCAGUAAAAGUCUGAUGAACUGAACUCAUCUGAACAACCACCCCAAGAGACGGGAUAGUUACGUGCACAAUGGGGCAGCCAGUCAGUGAGCCAGUGGCAUGCAGGUUGGUGAAAUAAUUUACCAGAGAAUAGAAAAGGAGUUUAUUAGGGGUACACUGCCAUAGACAACAGUGAGCCACACAGACCAGAGGUGCCUUUGUGAGCACCGAGGGCCUGUUGUUGGGGUGUUUUAUAAGGUCAGGUUACAAGGUGCCUGAUCAGCUUGUGCAGGAGUCUCUGAUUGGUUGUAGGUGAGGUAAGAGGGUUAGGGUCUGUGAAGGGUGUUGGGGUUUGAGUCUGAUAAGGUAAGGCAUUACCUGAGGCUAUUAGUUUGUUGGGGAAACACGCCCAAUAAAGAAUGUACUUUAUCUGAGACCCCAGAAAUGGGGGUCAUUGGAUUUUGAAGGAUGUCAGUUAGCCCAACAAUAGUUUCUGAUUUUGUGUGUGUGUGUGUGUGUGGCAGGUGAGGAAACAAAAGAUCAAAGAGUAGAGACAGUUGCCUUCCAACUAAAUAAACAGAAGAGCCAGCUGUGAGCCACAUCCUGUACUCCUAAACUGACCGCGUGGGAAAGCCCCCUUGCUUACUUAACUGCCCAUUGGCUUUCCCGUCUGACUUCAGUUAGCAGCGUCUUUCUUUAUUCCACUGCUGAGGCCACUUUUAGAAGGUCAUAGUGUUUAAAUUAGGGGUGGUCAACCCAUGACCCAAGUGAGGCCCCAGCGGGAUACCUUCUUUAGAGGAUUUUCCAUGUUAGAUUAACUGGUGUGAAACUCCUUUUCAUCUCAUGAUAGGGCUUAUACAGUUCCAAUUUUACAGAGCACAUAUUUAAUCAAUUACCUGGAGUAUAGGUGGAGUAAUUUGUUUAUGUCACCAAGACUUAGCCAAAGGACCUAUAAAACCUAUGGUGUCCCUGGCCAGGCUUUGUCUUUGGAAAGCAACUUAUUAAAAAUCCUCAUCAUUAUAGCUUGUAAAAGGGUAAAAAGUCCUGGGAGGGUACCUGGGCCAGUGUUUCUGAAAGCAGGGUUCAAAGACUUUUAGGAGUUCCACUGAUGAGUUCUUGCAGCCUAGAAGUUACCUAUGAAUAUUUAAAAUUUUAGAUAUCCUUCUAUGAUCAUCUGAAGUUGACAUAAAUGCCUUUUAGAUCACCUGGCUAGCCACCUCAUAGGUAAAUCUGGACAUAAGGAAUUACUGUGCCCCACAAAGUGUUUAUCUUGGUACCCAGUAAUCAACUAAAAUAAUAUGUAACUUUAAAAAAAAAUUGAGAUAUAAUUCACCUACCCUAAAAUCCAUCUUUUUAAAGCGUACGAUUCAGUGGUUUUUUAGUAUAUUCACAAGAUUGAUGAUUCACAGCCAUCACCACUAGAUAAUUACACAAUGUUUUCAUUACCCCUAAAAAAAUCCCCAUGCCCAGUGGCAGUCAUUACCUAUUCUUCCUGUAGGGGAGCAAAGUUUGCCACUCUAAAAUCUGUCUCUUUGGUAUCUUAAUUGUUUUAAGCUGGUUAUUUUCUGAGAAACAGCAGAUAGGGAAGGGCUCUGAAGAUCUAGUUGCCCUUUUGUGAGAAACAUUUACAUUUGUAAGGGAGAUCUCCCUCUUGUAUCCAGAAGAAAAGGAUGACCAAAUCUCUAGAAACUACAGUGGAGAAGGCAGCAGUUUAAAUCUGCAUCACAGUCGCCUUUGUUUGCUGUGCUUUUCCUGGUAACCUCCCAUAACCACUCUCCCCACUCUCAGUGUCUUUUGUCUUUAGCUGUGGAUGGUAUUUAAGUUGGGGCCAUUUUAGUGGGUUACUCAGUUCUCCUGGGUCUCUCCUAUGUGUACAUGUUAUUAAACUUUGAUUUUCUCCUGUUAAUCUGUCUUAUGUCAAUUUAAUUCUUAGACCAGCCAGAAGAACCCAGAAGAGUAGAGGAAAAUUUCUUCCUCCCUCAUACCCUCUCCUCCCCAACCCUUGGCAACCACUAAUCUACUUUCUCUCUCUUUGGAUUUGCCUGUUCUGGACAUUUUGUAUAAAUGAAAUCAUACGAUAUGUGGCUCUUGAGUCUGGUUUCUUUCAUUUAGCGUAUUUCCAAGGCUCGUCCAUAUUGUAGCACAUAACAGCCCUUCAUUUCUUUUUUACAGCUGGAUAUUUUCCCGCUGUAUCCCAGGUUUAUCCGUU